rnacentral:rRNA from 1 species
GAUGAACGCUGGCGGCGUGCCUAAUACAUGCAAGUCGAGCGAAAAGAUGCGGAGCUUGCUCCGCUGACGUUAGCGGAGGACGGGUGAGAAACACGUGGAAAACCUACCUAUCAGACGGGGAUAACUUCGGGAAACCGGAGCUAAUACCGGACGAUAUAUUGAACCGCAUGGUUCAUUAGUGAAAGACGGCUUUGCUGUCACUUAUAGAUGGAUCCCAGCCGCAUUAGCUGGUUGGUAGGGUAACGGGCUACCAAGGCAACGAUGCGUUGCCGACCUGGGAGGGGGAUCGCCCACCUGGGAGCUGGGACAGCGUCCAGGCUCCUGCGGGACGGACCAGACUGGAACCUUCCGCAGCGGUCGGGAGCCUUGCGGAGUGGCGGCGCGUGUGUUGUGAAGGUCUUGGGAUCGUGAAACUCUGUUAUGAGUGAAGAACAAAUUUGUGAGGAGCUGUAGCCGUCUUGACGGUACCUGAUCAGAAAGCCCCGGCUAACUACGUG